rnacentral:rRNA from 1 species
CCUACGGGUGGCAGCAGUGAGGAAUAUUGGUCAAUGGGCGCAAGCCUGAACCAGCCAAGUAGCGUGAAGGAUGACUGCCCUACGGGUUGUAAACUGCUUUUAUACAGGAAUAAAGUGAGGUACGUGUGCCUUUUUGUAUGUACUUUAUGAAUAAGGAUCGGCUAACUCCGUGCCAGCAGCCGCGGUAAUACGGAGGGUCCGGGCGUUAUCCGGAUUUAUUGGGUUUAAAGGGAGCGUAGAUGGGUUGUUAAGUCAGUUGUGAAAGUUUGGGGCUCAACCCGAAAAUUGCAGUGGAUACUGGCAGUCGUGAGUACAGUUGAGGCAGGCGGAAUUCGUGGUGUAGCGGUGAAAUGCUUAGAUAUGACGAAGAACUCCGAUUGCGAAGGCAGCUUACUAAACUGCCACUGACAUUGAUGCUCGAAAGUGUGGGUAUCGAACAGGAUUAGAUACCCUUGUAGUC